CCUUAUAUUUUUAUUAGUAAAAGGGCGUUAACCUAUCUAUAGUAAGGGGCUUUUUUUUUUCUUGCUGUUAGCGCUUUAGUUUUCUUUUCAAUAAGGAUGUUUAGGUUUUACUAAUAGAAAAUAGAAUAGAUAGGGCUUUUCUCGAUUGUUUAGUAUUGCUUUGUUUCACCGUCCGUUUAAUAAUAUAUUUAAUAAUAAAUUAAAUUUUUUAAAUUAUAUUAUUAAAUAUUUAAUUAUAUAACAAAAUUU
rnacentral:lncRNA from 1 species